GAACGCGGAGACACCGAUGGCGUCCCGUUACAGCUGGUUUGUGUUGACACUUUCUCCGUUUCUACUAUAAUCGCUACCUGCGAGAAAAGACUUCUGCCUUACCUGUACUUUAUGUCCAAGACGUAUCCAUGUGUCACCUGAGACUUUUUCCUCUUCAGAGUUACUAAAAGUGUUUCACUUCAACGAUGGACUUUGUGACGCAGCUCAGGUGCUUGUGUUGAUGUGACGGGCUGGACUCAGCGAUGAAUCAGUCUGAGGACGGAGAGGAGGGAGUUCCUUCCUCUUUGUGUGGGGAACAUGGGAGUCCGAACAAACGUCAUAGUUCGGAGCAGCAGCAGCAGCAGCAGCAGCAGCUACCGGCAGACUAUUCUGAACCUG